GGGUCCGGAUAUCACUAUGAUCAGUGCUUCACCAUUCACUAGUUCAAAGGUCUUAGCUAUAGUCAAUAUCUCUAGAUGGUCGGUGUUUUCCAACUCAGUCAUCAUGGUUCGAAGUUUGGAUAUCUUGCAUUCAAUUAUUUUUCCAAGGAUCAAGGUUUGCCUUAGUUGUUGUCGGCAUAUUUUGUGGGGCCUCAAGACAUUUUCAUUGGUGGCUGGGUGUCUCU
rnacentral:lncRNA from 1 species